GUUUGACCAGUGGAGAUAAUUCAGACUGAGGUUGAAUUCGAAUGAGUGCACUAUCAGAGUGCGGUCCGGUAAGAUGUUGGGGUUCAUUGUAAGGGAGGAAUCGAGGUUCAUCCUGCGGAAAAAAAAACAAGAAAAAAAAGAACAAUAAGAGAAACGCCUGAACCGAGAAAGAAAAAGAGAGGUUCGUGGUUUCAUAGAUAGAUUGAACUACCUGUCAUGGUUCACAUCUN
rnacentral:lncRNA from 1 species